AUGCAGCUGGUUGAUGUCGAACUGCCAAGGAAGUGAAAGCAGCAGAUUGUAAUGCUCCUAUAAAGUUUGCCCAUGUGGCUAAUGACAGUGGUGCUGGAUAUCUCUUCAAAGUGAAUCCCUGCAAGGAUCAACAUCAUAUUAACAGUGUAUUGGAGGUUCAUACAGGCGUCUGAUUGCUGGUCCUCUGUAUAAUGCUAUGACCAUGACCCCAGCUAAUGAUAUUAAAGUUCCAGUUGCUUUUGCUAGUCCUCGACGUUUUCUCAAGUUUAGAGUCUCCAGCCUGCAUAUGAUUUUGGAAAUACCACAAAGGGAAAUAAGUGGAAUAUUCAGUGGGCGGAAGGGAGCAAAUGGUGGAAAUGACACAGGAAAACUAUCUCUAGUUGAGUGAUCACUCGAGCUCUUUGGCUAAAAGUUUCAGGGGAGGUUUCACUCACUUAAGCGAGAUUCUGCAUAAUCAUAUGGCAUUGCCCUGCGUUUCCACUUUCUUAUCUGAGGAAUAGUCAGGACUCUAGGCUGUGGCAGCUGCUGAUAUAAUAUUUGCACUGGUUAAUCAAGAAGUCAGCUCACAAAGUAAAGUAGGAAUGGCACAGUGCGCUUGUGUACACGCAUGUAGCAGCUGGAAUAUGAUUUUGAACUGUUUUAUUAAACGUGGUCUAAUGAAGACGGUCUACUGAAGUAGACGAACCUACUUGAUUCUACCUAUAGCAAUCUCAAGAAAGUGAAGAUCACGUCUCUAUUUAAUAAGCUGAAAUUUAUCUUUUCUAAACUUAGAAUUCUUUGAGUCUUGGUAAAGAAUAACAUUCAUAUGCUUUAUGCUAACUAGUACUAUUUUAGCACAUUAAGAUGCUUAUUCUCCAAACUUCAUAGUGGACCAUGUUGGUUAUUCUUAGUGCCCAACUCUCUUUUCACUUUUGGUGUCCCUGUUUAGACUUCUGGGGACUGUAUGAAACCUGUGUACUUGUUACCAUGACAUAGAUCAAAUCUGAUGCGAGCACAUGUGGCCGCUUAAAACAGUUGCUGCGCUGUUGUUCCUUUUUCGUGUUAGCUUACAGAUUCCAAUUUGUGAUCUUAC